rnacentral:rRNA from 1 species
AAACCAACAGGGAUUGCCCCAGUAACGGCGAGUGAAGCGGCAAAAGCUCAAAUUUGAAAUCCUGCGGGAAUUGUAAUUUGAAGGUUUCGUGGUCUGAGUCGGCCGCGCCCAAGUCCAUUGGAACAUGGCGCCUGGGAGGGUGAGAGCCCCGUAUGGCGCACGCCGACUCUUUGCACCGCGGCUCCGACGAGUCGAGUUGUUUGGGAAUGCAGCUCUAAGUGGGUGGUAAAUUCCAUCUAAAGCUAAAUAUUGGCGAGAGACCGAUAGCGAACAAGUACAGUGAUGGAAAGAUGAAAAGCACUUUGAAAAGAGAGUGAAACAGCACGUGAAAUUGUUGAAAGGGAAGGGCUUGCAAGCAGACACGGUUUUACCGGGCCAGCGUCGAAAAGGGGGGAGGAACAAGAACUCGAGAAUGUGGCGCGCACCUUCGGGCGCGCGUGUUAUAGCUCGUGUUGACGCCUCCAUCCCUUUUCGAGGCCUGCGAUUCUAGGACGCUGGCGUAAUGGUUGCAAGCCGC